rnacentral:rRNA from 1 species
CCUAAGGGUGGCAGCAGUGGGGAAUAUUGGACAAUGGGCGAAAGCCUGAUCCAGCCAUGCCGCGUGUGUGAAGAAGGCCUUCGGGUUGUAAAGCACUUUCAGUGGGGAAGAAAGCCUUGGGGCUAAUACCCUCGAGGAAGGACAUCACCCACAGAAGAAGCACCGGCUAACUCCGUGCCAGCAGCCGCGGUAAUACGGAGGGUGCGAGCGUUAAUCGGAAUUACUGGGCGUAAAGCGCGCGUAGGCGGUCUGAUAAGCCGGUUGUGAAAGCCCCGGGCUCAACCUGGGAACGGCAUCCGGAACUGUCAGGCUAGAGUGCAGGAGAGGAAGGUAGAAUUCCCGGUGUAGCGGUGAAAUGCGUAGAGAUCGGGAGGAAUACCAGUGGCGAAGGCGGCCUUCUGGACUGACACUGACGCUGAGGUGCGAAAGCGUGGGUAGCAAACAGGAUUAGAUACCCCGGUAGUC